UCCUUCGCUCGCAUCUCGUGACAGCAGACUCGUUCGCAUUGCCUUUCGGAUCUCAUGUGGACAUUGCGAACGCCUGGCAUUGUGCUAGGUUCUGGUCCGCUGUUGGCGCUGAUGCUCGGGCUAAGGUGAACGCUAUUUCAGUCAAGCUCCAGCAUCCGUACUAACCGGGAGCAGCCUUUCGCACGCGUUCCCGUUAUAUCAAGCGCGCGCACACACACAGAGCGCGUCCCGUUCGGCCAGUAAUUUUCUGUCUACGUAUCGCCGUGUAAAUCCCUCCGUGUCUGUCUAUCUGUGUGUCUGUGUAUGUGUGUGACAGUGCGUGCGUGCGUGCGUUUGAGACGUUCCGCGGCGCGACGCGUAUGUGUGCAUUGGUGUGUGUAAAUUUUUGGGCAAAGCCAAAGGAAACAGAAACAGUGGCCCCCAAGUGACAGGUGGAGCUAACGCGAACCGGUUCAAGCACAGCUCAAAGUCGCCGUUUUGCUAACCUUUACACUUGGCAGCAUUUCAUAACGCGAUUCAACCAAACCCAAAGUGAACUACUUCAAACAGCAUAGCGCCACUGGCAGAACUUUGCUAGCCACUCGUAGCUAGUUUGAACCGUGUUUUCCAAAAUCACACACACACAAACAGUAACGGCAGCAAGCGGAAAUCAACGAAAUUGUCGUCACUCCAAUCAAGUGGAAAUUUGAUUAAAGAAGAGAAAAGAAAAAACAAAAUUUAAUAAAUUUCAAAACUCAAUAGCCGAAUACCCAAAAAUAAAAAAAAAUAAAAUUGAAAAGAAAAGUGCGAGUGUAUCAAAAAGGUAACAGCAAAGGAAAUCAACACGCACGCACAUGAGCGCAUUUGUAGUUGUGCAAGAAUAAAAAAAGAAAGAAAAGAAACAGCAGCAAACGCAACAAACAUUAAAAA